rnacentral:rRNA from 1 species
GCUAACUACGUGCCAGCAGCCGCGGUAAUACGUAGGGUGCAAGCGUUAAUCGGAAUUACUGGGCGUAAAGCGUGCGCAGGCGGCUUUGUAAGACGGAUGUGAAAGCCCCGGGCUCAACCUGGGAAGUGCAUUCGUGACUGCAAGGCUAGAGUGUGUCAGAGGGAGGUGGAAUUCCGCGUGUAGCAGUGAAAUGCGUAGAGAUGCGGAGGAACACCGAUGGCGAAGGCAGCCUCCUGGGAUAACACUGACGCUCAGGCACGAAAGCGUGGGGAGCAAACAGGAUUAGAUACCCCGGUAGUC